UACGUAGGGUGCGAGCGUUGUCCGGAAUUAUUGGGCGUAGAGAGCUUGUAGGCGGUUUGUCGCGUCUGCUGUGAAAAUCCGGGGCUCAACCCCGGACUUGCAGUGGGUACGGGCAGACUAGAGUGUGGUAGGGGAGACUGGAAUUCCUGGUGUAGCGGUGGAAUGCGCAGAUAUCAGGAGGAACACCGAUGGCGAAGGCAGGUCUCUGGGCCACUACUGACGCUGAGAAGCGAAAGCAUGGGGAGCGAACAGG
rnacentral:rRNA from 1 species